AUCGCAUAAACAAACAUUGACAAUAAAAGGAGUCGCAAUAUACCAAAAUAAACCCGUUUUCACUCCACGCUGGAUAGAAAAAUUCAAAGAAUAAAAAAAUAUACAAUCCCGCUUUUCAGUUUUCACAUACCCACGAAAUCAUCCUCAACCUCCCUCUACCCUCAACCGACUCGCCCUAGCUCUAGAUAUUCUUCAACAAAAUCCCAAAUAAUUCUCAAAAUAAUCCGAGAUUAUUAUUAGCAAAACGAUCUCCUCACCUCAAUUCUCUCUCAUCCCUUUCAAGUUAAAUGGGAAAUCUGGAGAAGCACAUAAUUCUCACUUUACGCCGCUAAUUUCAUAUUUAAUUACAAGCUUCUUUGGAUUUCACGAUUUGAUUUUGUAAUUGCAAUAUUGAAGAUUCAUUCGAACUCAAUCGCAACACCGUCAACAGAUCCAUCGCCGCUAAUUUCACUGUCCUGAUAUUUUCAGAUGAGAGAAGGUAGACUGCAAGGGGUUGUUCAAUGCCUAAUCCGCGAGUUUAGGAUGGUUUGCCAUGUUCUGCAAGGAGAUGUCAGCAAAGAUUUCUCCGAGGGUUGCCGAGCAAUCAUGGUUGACAAAGAAAAAAAAUCCUAAGUGGAAUCCUUUGCAGUUGGAUCUGAUUAGUGGCCUUGGCUUUCUUGGUCCAUUCGGUCAUUUCUGGUUUCACAAGUGCUAACCAAUAUCCCCGUGAAUUGCGUAUUGGGUUCGUACGUACUGUUACAGUUGAGUUGUUUCGACCUCAUGAAAUCAAGCAAUGGAAAGGCCUGUAAGGCUGUGAUGAGUCUAGGGUCAUUGACUUCUUAUAUAUGUAUACUGAUAUUACAAGUUUCUGUUUAGGAUUGAUUUGAUCUUUAACCUGUGAAAAGUUCCCUUUUAUCGUGCUUAUACUGAGAUUGCUUCUCUUGUUUCUGUUUGAGUUUGUAGGUUGAAAAAUUGAAUGGCGCAAUGUCUCAGAUAUAUCUAAAGCUACAGGUUAGAAAGAGAUGCUUUGUCUCUUUUUAGAACGUUGAGGCAGAAUUUCAAGUCUAGCAUUGAUAUAGAUCCUGCAUUUGAUGAGGUUUGUCAUUCAUCUUAUCAGAAAAGACGUUACGUGAGGCCUUUGGACCCUUUGGUGAACUCGUAUAAGAUUAACGAUGAUUCAGGUGUCAAAGGUAACAAUUAUAUCAAGAUAUUGAAGCUCCGAUCUCAAUCACGGGGAUUUAGGAACCAACAUUUUUUUGAUGUUAAAGGAACAAAAUAAUAUAUUUUUAUUUCUAGUGUGAUUUGAUAAGACAAAAAUUUGAUGUAUGGAUAUAUAAUAUAUGAUCCUAUUGUUAUUUUGGUAUGUUCUUAACUGGUUUGAUUAUUGGACAGUGCAAAUAUGCACAUGGAUGUUUUAAAAUUAAAAUUAAGUAUGUGAUUACAAGUAAGUUUGAUUAUUGGACAGUGCAAAUAUGCACAUGGA